CCUGUCUCAACAGAGAUGGAAAUACUAUCUUAAAGACCAGCCUAGAUACUGUGAACCAUGCCUGAUGGCUGGGAAAUCCACCAGAGUGGAUAGAGUAAUUGCUAAUGAGCAGUGCAAAACAGCAGCACCCUGGGAACUCCAAUUUUUACAAGGCUACCUUCCUUCUCCUCCUGAUGCAUGUGACAUCUGAGCCAUUCCAGCACAAAGGUUCUAAAAAUGCAUUUUCUAAAUAAAAAAUGUUCUUAUUGGUUCA